AAGAGCUCUCGCAUGUUUUCGACCUGCUGCCAGUGCAACAUUAUAAGACAGCUCAGCAUGCUCAGAGGAGAAUACUAAGUGCCAUUUGUGACACGUCUGCUAACAGAACACAGCUUACCGGUGCCACACUGAGUGAUGGGAGAGGAAGGGCUAUCCAAUCUUGGAGACAGAGAUCAUUUGUGCUCUCUUGGGCUGCAGAUGGCUAUUGCAAUGGAAGAUGCCAACCCAACUGAACACCUAUGAGAGAUUUUGGACUGGCAUGUUAGACAACACUCUACACCACAGCCAUGAAACAGGCUUCAAUCAAUUGGUGCAAAAUGAACCACAGAGCGCGGUCGUUCACUGGGCUGGUGGCAACUGUGCAGUAAUGACUGAGCUGUGGACAGUUUGAGCACUCAUGCAUGUGCUCGCCCCACGCGCUGAUCACCCCUAACUAGGAGGCUUAACUCAGGGGUCGCCACUGAAAUGUUAAGAAGAGCCGUUUUGUCCUUUCAACAAAAACUGAAACCACCUUUGGAGCCACAACAUUUUAUGUCCGUUUUACCCUCUUGGCUGUAAGUAUGUCUCAGUAUGUGCUGAUGUUCUACUGUAGGCUACUAUAGAAAUAUAAACCCAAACUCAGACUUACUUUGCUCUGCUUUAACCUUUUACUCAGCUGAAAUUUUGGUUGGUUAUUUGAGUUACUGUUGCCUUUCUAUCAUCUGGAACCAGUCUGCCCAUUCUCCUCUGACCUCUCACAUCAACAAGGAAUUUUCGUCCACAAAACUGACCGCUCACUAGACAUUUUCUCUUUUUCUGACCGUUCUCUCUGAACCCUAGAGAUGGUUGUGUGUGAAAAUCCCAGUAGAUCAGCCGUUUCUGAGAUACUCAGGCCAGCCCGUCUGGCACCAACAACUACACCACGUUCAAAGUCACUUAAAUCACCUUUCUUCUCCAUUCUGAUGCUCAGUUUGCACUUCAGCAAGUUGUCUUGACCACCUCUACAUGCCUAAAUGCAUUGAGUCAUGUGAUUGGCUGAUUAACUAUUUGUGUUAACAAGCAAUUGAACAGGUGCAGCUAAUAAAGUGGCCUGAUAAAAUAGACUAUGAACGUCAAAACAAAGAAGUGGUCAUAAUGUUAUGCCUGAUCAGUGUAUCUUGCCAAAAUGUUUAAAUUGGAGCAGUUUUAUU